rnacentral:rRNA from 1 species
UAAAAAAAGGUAAGCUACUAAGAGCGAAUGGUGGAUGCCUUGACUGGUAAAGGCGAUGAAGGACGUACUAGACUGCGAUAAGCUACGGGGAGCUGUCAAGAAGCUUUGAUCCGUAGAUUUCCGAAUGGGGCAACCCAAUGUAUAGAGAUAUACAUUACCUAUAUAGGAGCGAACGAGGGGAAUUGAAACAUCUUAGUACCCUCAGGAAAAGAAAUCAAUAGAGAUUGCGUCAGUAGCGGCGAGCGAAAGCGCAAGAGGGCAAACCCAGUGCUUGCACUGGGGGUUGUAGGACUGCAAUGUGCAAGAGGUAAGUUUAGCAGAACAUUCUGGAAAGUAUAACCAUAGAGGGUGAUAGUCCCGUAUGCGAAAAACAAACCUUAGCUAGCAGUAUCCUGAGUAGGGCGGGACACGAGGAAUCCUGUCUGAAUCCGGGUCGACCACGAUCCAACCCUAAAUACUAAUACCAGAUCGAUAGUGCACAAGUACCGUGAGGGAAAGGUGAAAAGAACUGAGGUGAUCAGAGUGAAAUAGAACCUGAAACCAUUUGCUUACAAUCAUUCAGAGCCCUAUGUAGCAAUACAGGGUGAUGGACUGCCUUUUGCAUAAUGAGCCUGCGAGUUGUGGUGUCUGGCAAGGUUAAGCAAACGCGAAGCCGUAGCGAAAGCGAGUCUGAAUAGGGCGCUUAGUCAGAUGCUGCAGACCCGAAACGAAGUGAUCUAUCCAUGAGCAAGUUGAAGCUAGUGUAAGAACUAGUGGAGGACUGAACCCAUAGGCGUUGAAAAGCCCCGGGAUGACUUGUGGAUAGGGGUGAAAGGCCAAUCAAACUUCGUGAUAGCUGGUUCUCUCCGAAAUAUAUUUAGGUAUAGCGUUGUGUCGUAAUAUAAGGGGGUAGAGCACUGAAUGGGCUAGGGCAUACACCAAUGUACCAAACCCUAUCAAACUCCGAAUACCUUAUAUGUAAUCACAGCAGUCAGGCGGCGAGUGAUAAAAUCCGUCGUCAAGAGGGAAACAACCCAGACUACCAGCUAAGGUCCCUAAAUCUUACUUAAGUGGAAAACGAUGUGAAGUUACUUAAACAACCAGGAGGUUGGCUUAGAAGCAGCCAUCCUUUAAAGAAAGCGUAAUAGCUCACUGGUCUAGUGAUUUUGCGCGGAAAAUAUAACGGGGCUAAAGUAAGUACCGAAGCUGUAGACUUAGUUUAC